GUUGGCGGGAGGCAGUUCAGGAAGCAGUUCUCAAAAGCUGCAGAGAGCACGCCAGCCUGUUCAGCGGUGUUGGAGGGGCACUGGACAUGCUGUGCGCUUACCAAGCAACGAUGUUCGUCUGGAUACCACAUAUUUACCGUAGCCGAAGCUGAAGAAGAUACGAAUCGAAAGCUAUUGUCAUAUUGCAAUGGACUCUUUUACAGCCAGGUUUCCCUCGCAACAGUUUCAUGCAGCAUAAGAUACUGAGAUAUCACGGCAGAAGAACAAAGUAAAUUACAAUCUGUUCA